GUAAUUAUACCAGCUGGAUGAGCAGCGAACGGGUGAGUAACGCGUGGGGAAUCUGCCUUUGAGCGGGGGACAACAUUUGGAAACGAAUGCUAAUACCGCAUAAAAACUUUAAACACAAGUUUUAAGUUUGAAAGAUGCAAUUGCAUCACUCAAAGAUGAUCCCGCGUUGUAUUAGCUAGUUGGUGAGGUAAAGGCUCACCAAGGCGAUGAUACAUAGCCGACCUGAGAGGGUGAUCGGCCACAUUGGGACUGAGACACGGCCCAAACUCCUACGGGAGGCAGCAGUAGGGAAUCUUCGGCAAUGGACGAAAGUCUGACCGAGCAACGCCGCGUGAGUGAAGAAGGUUUUCGGAUCGUAAAACUCUGUUGGUAGAGAAGAACGUUGGUGAGAGUGGAAAGCUCAUCAAGUGACGGUAACUACCCAGAAAGGGACGGCUAACUACGUGCCAGCAGCCGCGGUAAUACGUAGGUCCCGAGCGUUGUCCGGAUUUAUUGGGCGUAAAGCGAGCGCAGGUGGUUUAUUAAGUCUGGUGUAAAAGGCAGUGGCUCAACCAUUGUAUGCAUUGGAAACUGGUAGACUUGAGUGCAGGAGAGGAGAGUGGAAUUCCAUGUGUAGCGGUGAAAUGCGUAGAUAUAUGGAGGAACACCGGUGGCGAAAGCGGCUCUCUGGCCUGUAACUGACACUGAGGCUCGAAAGCGUGGGGGGCAAACAGGAUUAGAUACCCUGGUAGUCCACGCCGUAAACGAUGAGUGCUAGAUGUAGGGAGCUAUAAGUUCUCUGUAUCGCAGCUAACGCAAUAAGCACUCCGCCUGGGGAGUACGACCA
rnacentral:rRNA from 1 species